rnacentral:misc_RNA from 1 species
AACGCACCUUGCGCUCCUUGGUAUUCCGAGGAGCAUGCCUGUUUGAGUGUCAUUAAUAUAUCAACCUCUUCAGCUUUUUGCAUGUUGAGUGUUGGAUAUGGGGGGUAUUUUUGCUGGACUCUAGAAUGUGAGGUCAGCUCCCCUAAAAUGUAUCAGCGAAACAAUUUGUUUACCGCUCAUUGGUGUGAUAACUAUCUACGCUAUUGACGGUGAAAGCACGUUUAGCUCCUAACAGUCCAUUAGCUUGGACAACCUCUUAUAAAUGUGACCUCAAAUCAGGUAGGACUACCCGCUGAACUUAA